rnacentral:rRNA from 1 species
GAACCUGCGGAGGGAUCAUUACCGAGUUUACAACUCCCAAACCCAAUGUGAACGUUACCAAACUGUUGCCUCGGCGGGGUCACGCCCCGGGUGCGUCGCAGCCCCGGAACCAGGCGCCCGCCGGAGGAACCAACCAAACUCUUUCUGUAGUCCCCUCGCGGACGUAUUUCUUACAGCUCUGAGCAAAAAUUCAAAAUGAAUCAAAACUUUCAACAACGGAUCUCUUGGUUCUGGCAUCGAUGAAGAACGCAGCGAAAUGCGAUAAGUAAUGUGAAUUGCAGAAUUCAGUGAAUCAUCGAAUCUUUGAACGCACAUUGCGCCCGCCAGUAUUCUGGCGGGCAUGCCUGUCCGAGCGUCAUUUCAACCCUCGAACCCCUCCGGGGGAUCGGCGUUGGGGAUCGGGACCCCUCACACGGGUGCCGGCCCCGAAAUACAGUGGCGGUCUCGCCGCAGCCUCUCCUGCGCAGUAGUUUGCACAACUCGCACCGGGAGCGCGGCGCGUCCACGUCCGUAAAACACCCAACUUUCUGAAAUGUUGACCUCGGAUCAGGUAGGAAUACCCGCUGAACUUAAGCAUAUCAA